GAGAAAAUAGACUAUUCAUUGCACAAUUAAUAGAAAAGUGAAAACGUUUCCAAAUCUACAAUAAACCUGUAUCCAAAGGAGUGAUAGGUCAGUGAUGUGCUGAACUUUUGUUCUGGGGUUCGGCUGUGCAAUAGACUUGCUUGGUCAGCUGGCAUGGGUAGGGCUCACUUCCUGCCUGUUGUAGGGCUCACUUCCUGCCUGUUGAAGGGUGAUUAUGCUACACAGAGCUAUGAUGGGUUCUGAGUGGUAAAAUUCACACAAGUUCUUGGUUAUUUGUAUCAGGAUCAUUCUUUGUGCAAACUUUGAUGUAGAUGAAGAUAAAGUGGUUUCUUGGUCAACAAUUGCAAUUUCUUUCUUUUAAAGUCAGUGGGUUUCUUGUAUAGUUCUAUUACGAUUGGCCCAGGUUUAAUUUCAUCCAUCUCCAUGAAGGCAAAACACUUAGUGCUGGUAAACCUCUUUUUAGGCUUGUAAUGUUUGAAUUCAAAGAAAAUGGCCGCACCUUUGGUUAACUUUUCAACGUGUUUCUGGAGCUCAAUGUCCACAUUAAAGUGAACGUAAGUAUCUUCUUUUCUUGAAGCCACAGGAGUGUCUUGUACGGGAGUUAAAUCUAUGCCAUUCAAAUCUUUCACGCUGACUGUGAUGUAGGGAUCGAUGCACUGCCCCGCAUCUUUCAAACCAAUUUUCUCAAUCCUGAUGGUGAGUAACGUCAUC
ensembl:lincRNA